AUGAACUCCAUCUGUAGUCAAUUCACAGAAAUUAAUAUAUUGUAACCGCAUUGUCAUGAAAUACUUGGGCUUAAUAGCACAAAACGUUUUUACGUUUGACACUUCUUGUAGAAAAGGUCAACACGUUUCAUUUUUUUGCACAAUUAAGCUAGACGUACAGGCAACCUUUGACAGAAGCUGUAUAGAAGUUUAAGUUAUUACUGACGUGGCUGGAAGAAAUGGGGGAAAAUUUUGGUUUCGACCUCAUAACCCGCCAAAUCUCUCUUCUCCUCCCAAAAUGGAAGCCCUAAAGUUGUAGUGGAGAUUAGCUGCUCCACUUCUUCGAACUGAAGAGCACCAUUUGCUGGACAACCGUCAUUCUUCCAGUCGUGCAGCGACUUCACUGUCUUCUCCAGUCCAGCGGCCAUAUUUGUGCAGCGACUUCACAGUCUUCUCCAGUCCAGCGGCCAUAUUUUCAGUGUUUGAGCAAUCGUGCAGCGACUUCACUGUCUUCUCCAGUCCGGCGGCCAUAGUUUCAGUGUUUGAGCAACCAUUUCUGAAUCUUCCAGCGGUGCGAGCGACUUCACUGUCUUCUCCAGUCCGACAGCGAUUUUUUCAGUGUUUGAGCAACCAUUUCUCAUUCUUCCAGACCAGAGGAGGUGAUUUUCGAUAUUAUGCUGUAAUUUUUUAUGUUGUCAAAAAAUUGUAUGAAUGUUGCUGGAAUCAUACCUUCAUAUGCAAAGGAAUGAACACACACGCACAUGUAAAUGUAUAGCUAUUGUUAGCAAAACCUUCAUAUGCAACAGAAUAUGGUGUAGCAUUUUGAACACACACACCACAGAAUGUUUAUUUGUACAUUUGGGAAAAAAGGGAUUGCUGUCAUUUUUAACAAAUCAGAGGAGGUGAUUUUCGGUAGCAUGCUGAAAUUUUUUUAUGCUGUCAAAAAAUUGUAUGAAUGUUGCUGGAAUCAGACCUUCAUAUGCAAAGGAAUGUACACACACACACACGUAAAUGUAUAACUAUUGUUGGCAAAACCUUCAUAUGCAACAGAAUGUGGUGAAGCUGUGACUUUAUUGAUUGAAUGCCAGAGUAUAUACCUCUUCCAUAUGGUAAUGUGAAGGAAAUUUUCGAAACUUGAAAAAAAAAGGGCUAUUAAGCACCGUAAUUGAUCACUUUGACGUUGCUAUGGUUUGAGACAUUUGUUUGCUUAACAAAAUUUGCUAUAUGAAAUCACAUCCCUGUUGGCUUAACAAUUUAUUGAAAAUCUUGUCCAGCCAAUUUGGUUGCAACACACGGAAGUAUGGAAGAUGCGAAUGAAGAUCCGUUAUUGUUGUCUGAUGAUGAGAUAGUUGGGGAUAAUAUCGAUAGUAUGGACAGAGAACCGUUAGGAGAAGAUAAAGAGGUUGCUCUGGAGGUAGGUAUGAUUUUCGAUGGUGAAAAAGAGUUGUUUGACUUUUAUAAGAGAUAUGCUUAUGCCGUCGGCUUUCCCGUGAAGAAAAGGAAUUCGAAAAAGGGUGACAAUGGAGUUGUUAGAUUUAUCACAUUCACAUGUAGCCGUGAAGGACGAAGAGGCAGUAACACAAGUAGUACUUUGAAGCCGCAACCAACAAGUCAAAUAGAUUGUAAAGCAAGAAUAUCUGCAUCUACAGAUAAAGUUGGGAAAUGGAGAAUUAACACCGUGUAUCUCGAGCAUAAUCAUAAAACAAGUCCUUCGAAGUCGAGGUUGUUUCGAUGUAACAGAGAAUUGACUGCAAAUGCGAAGAGAAAGCUUGAAUUAAAUGAUAUGGCAGGAAUUCCGUUGCACAAAAGUUACAACUCCGCAGUUGUGGAAGCAGGGGGGUAUAAUAAUUUGACUUAUGUUGAGAGGGAUUGUCGCAAAUAUAUUGAACAAGUAAGAAGGUUACGACUUGGAGAAGGAGACGCCGCAGCUUUACAAUCCUAAUUUUCAAAGAUGCAAGCACGGUGUUCGGGAUUUUAUUUCAGUAUGGAUUUGGAUGAUGAGUCACGGCUUCGAAAUAUAUUUUGGGCAGAUAACAGAUGUAGGCAAGCAUACAAGGAGUUUGGCGAUGUUGUUACCUUUGACACGACGUAUCUUACAAGUACGUACGACAUGCCUUUCGCUCCUUUUGUCGGAGUUAAUCACCAUGGACAAUCAAUACUGCUUGGUUGUGGUUUGUUGUCGAAUGAGAACACGGGUACAUUUGUGUGGCUGUUCAAGACAUGGCUCGAGUGCAUGCAUGGCCAGCCUCCCCACGGAAUAAUUACGGAUCAAGAUAGGGCCAUGCAGAAUGCGAUUGAGAUUGUGUUUCCAAAUACUAAACAUAAAUGGUGUUUAUGGCAUAUUAUGCAGAAGUUGCCAGAAAAAUUUGGCUAUCAUGUUGACAAAGGUUUGAUAUUCUCAUCUAUACACGAAUUGGUAUAUGAUUCCGAGAGUACUGAUGCAUUCGAAGAAGGUUGGAGAACGAUGGUCGAAAAGUUUGACUUGGAUGGCAAUGAUUGGUUGUCGGGCUUGUACGAUAACAGAAGUCGUUGGGUACCAUGCUUUCUGAAGACAACAUUCUGGGCAGGGAUGUCUACAACACAACGAAGUGAGAGCAUGAAUGCAUUUUUUGAUGGAUAUGUACAUUCGAAAACCUCAUUGAAGCAGUUUGUGGAACAGUAUGAAAGAGCACUUCGGAACAAGGUCGAGAAAGAGUUUCAGGCUGAUUUCAGGUCAUACUCACAAAUUGUGCCAUGUGCAACUGCCUUCGAAAUGGAAAAACAAUUUCAAUCAGUUUAUACAAUAUCCAAGUUUAAGGAAGUGCAAGAUGAGUUCGUAGGGAAGGUGUAUUGCGAUGUCGUUGCAGCUUCAGAUGGAUAUUUUGGGACAAAGUACGAGAUUCGAGAAUCUGUUGUAUAUCCUGAGGGCGGGAGGAAGAAAUCAUAUUUCGUGACAUUUCGAAUGAACACAAGUGAAGUUCUUUGCAGUUGCCAUUUGUUUGAGUUUCGAGGAAUUAUUUGUAGGCAUGCGAUCACAGUAUUAGAUCGUAAUGACAUCACGACAAUGUCGGAUAGGUAUAUAAUCAGCAGAUGGAGGAAAGACGUAAGCAGAGCACACACAAGAGUCGCGGUGAACUACGACGGGUUAGCUAGUACUCCAGAACAGAUUCGAUAUGAUGAUUUGUGUCAGACAUUUUCAGAGUUGGCGGACCUUGCUGCAAAUGAUGAAGGGCAGGCUCGUGUGGUAAAGGAUUGGAUAAAAUGUCAAACCGCAGAACUAAGGUCUUUAAAUUCGAGUAAUGGUAGUAAUGUUCUUUCCCAACCAAGUAUGCAUUUACAAGGCCAAUGUAAUAAUUCAGAAAGUCCUGGCGGCGUGAAUGUAUUUGAUCCUAAAACAUCGAAUAGAAAGGGCACGCCAAGGAAACUUAGGAGGAAAAGUGCGUUGAAGUCCACUUCAAAGAAGGCUAAGGUAAGUUGCUUUACUAAUCUCGUCAAAUAGAAAAGGAGCUUUGCUAUGAAAUCUUAUUUCUUUCCACGUACAUGCACAUGGUACUUCAAAUAAAUCCAAAGGAAAGAGACUACCACCUAGCCGUACCGAUAUGGAAGAGGCUACAUCGGUCCUUCAGUUAUCUGGACGAAUUGAAGAUUCUCAGCCUACCCAAUUUUCAUAUUCAU
rnacentral:lncRNA from 1 species